rnacentral:rRNA from 1 species
UACGGAGGGGGCUAGCGUUGUUCGGAAUUACUGGGCGUAAAGCGUGCGCAGGCGGUUUGCUAAGAGAGAUGUGAAAUCCCCGGGCUUAACCUGGGAACUGCGUUUCUAACUGGCAGGCUUGAGUGUGGCAGAGGGGGGUGGAAUUCCACGUGUAGCAGUGAAAUGCGUAGAGAUGUGGAGGAACACCGAUGGCGAAGGCAGCCCCCUGGGCUAACACUGACGCUCAUGCACGAAAGCGUGGGGAGCAAACAGG